UACGUAGGGAGCAAGCGUUGUCCGGAAUCAUUGGGCGUAAAGAGCGCGCAGGCGGUCGAUCAAGUCGCGUGUGAAAGCCCCCGGCUCAACUGGGGAGGGUCACGCGAUACUGAUCGACUCGAAGGCAGGAGAGGGUAGUGGAAUUCCCGGUGUAGUGGUGAAAUGCGUAGAUAUCGGGAGGAACACCAGUGGCGAAGGCGACUACCUGGCCUGUUCUUGACGCUGAGGCGCGAAAGCUAGGGGAGCAAACGGG
rnacentral:rRNA from 1 species